GCCAAAUUGAAGGUUUUCCUCCUCAUUUUUGGUGCUUCUCUUCUUAAAAAAUAUACGGCAAAGAACCCAAUUUUCCAUUGGCACCAAAGGGCUCUGGAUUGAGUUCUUCUUUUGUGGGGAAUUGCAUGCAGUAGCUUCAGUGCUAACAAGGCGGUAUUCGUGCAUGAUCCAAUCAGUCCUAGUGCCGUGGGGGGGUUUUCCCCUGUAGAAAACUAGAGUUUUCUUCAUCCCCACAAG
rnacentral:misc_RNA from 1 species